AUGGUGAUAGUGAAGAAGAACACGAGUGCCCUGUGCUGCUUCGUGGCCACACUCAUGGUGGUCAUGGCUGCCACCCUUCUUCUCUCCUCGUGUGACGCCCGCAAACAGAUAGUUGAGCCGCGUGCUUUUCCCCUGCCGGCUUCGUGCUACUCCAAACACUUCCCGGACUGCACGGACGAGCGAUGCAAGAAGUUCUGCGGCGGCGACGACAUGCCGCCGGUCUCUGCGGCCUUCUGCAAUGACGACAAUAACUGUUGUUGUCCCGUUAUCUAG
rnacentral:rRNA from 1 species